rnacentral:rRNA from 1 species
UGCCAGACUCCUACGGGAGGCAACAGUGGGGGAUAUUGCACAAUGGGGGAAACCCUGAUGCAGCGACGCCGCGUGGGUGAAGAAGCGCCUCGGCGCGUAAAGCCCUGUCAGCAGGGAAGAAAAUGACGGUACCUGACUAAGAAGCCCCGGCUAACUACGUGCCAGCAGCCGCGGUAAUACGUAGGGGGCGAGCGUUAUCCGGAUUCACUGGGUGUAAAGGGAGCGUAGACGGCCAUGCAAGCCAGUGGUGAAAGCCCGGGGCCCAACCCCGGGACUGCCCUUGGAACUGCAUGGCUGGAGUGCGGGAGGGGCAGGCGGAAUUCCUGGUGUAGCGGUGAAAUGCGUAGAUAUUAGGAGGAACACCGGCGGCGAAGGCGGCCUGCUGGACCGUAACUGACGUUGAGGCUCAAAAGCAUGGGGAGCAAACAGGAUUAGAUACCCCCGUA